rnacentral:rRNA from 1 species
AGAGUUUGAUCAUGGCUCAGGACGAACGCUGGCGGCACGCUUAAAACAUGCAAGUCGAACGAGAAGCCCGGGCUUGCCCGGGUGGACAGUGGCGAACGGGUGCGUAACACGUGAGCAACCUGCCCCGAAGACUGGGAUAACACCGGGAAACCGGUGCUAAUACCGGAUAUCUUCACCAUGUCGCAUGGCGAGGUGAAGAAAUGGAUUCCGCUUCGGGAUGGGCUCGCGGCCUAUCAGCUUGUUGGUGGGGUAAUGGCCUACCAAGGCAGCGACGGGUAGCUGGUCUGAGAGGAUGUCCAGCCACACUGGGACUGAGACACGGCCCAGACUCCUACGGGAGGCAGCAGUUAGGAAUCUUGCGCAAUGGGCGAAAGCCUGACGCAGCGAUGCCGCGUGCGGGAUGAAGGCCCUCGGGUCGUAAACCGCUUUCAGCAGGGACGAUUGUGACGGUACCUGCAGAAGAAGCCCCGGCCAACUACGUGCCAGCAGCCGCGGUAAUACGUAGGGGGCAAGCGUUGUCCGGAUUUAUUGGGCGUAAAGAGCUCGUAGGCGGUUUGGUAAGUCGGGUGUGAAAUCUCCACGCUCAACGUGGAGGGGCCACUCGAUACUGCCAUGACUCGAGUCCGGUAGAGGAGUGUGGAAUUCCCGGUGUAGCGGUGAAAUGCGCAGAUAUCGGGAGGAACACCUGUAGCGAAGGCGGCACUCUGGGCCGGAACUGACGCUGAGGAGCGAAAGCGUGGGGAGCAAACAGGAUUAGAUACCCUAGUAGUCC